GGGAGUGUCAGGUUUCGACAGGAUAAGAACCAUAUUAUAAGCAAGUAGUAGCGAUACUUUAAAUCUUUUUUUAAAUAACUGGAAAAAGUUAUAGAUUAGCUGCUUAGUUUUGCAGCCAUUUGUAUUUUGUUUGCUAUUGACGAAAUAUAAAUGUUAUUUAAAUAGCUUGCUCUGUAAUAAUGAUUAUACUUAUAGGGGACUUUAAUAAUCUAAUUUAAAGACUUUUGGUAGUUUAGCAUCUUUAAAUGAAAAAGAUAAAUUACCUAAACUUGUAGAAAGUAGUAUGUAGUCUUAUUUUGGACACGAGUUCAAUUCUCGUCACUUCCACCA
rnacentral:tmRNA from 1 species